rnacentral:rRNA from 1 species
GACGAACGCUGGCGGCGUGCUUAACACAUGCAAGUCGAACGGUAAGGCCCUUCGGGGUACACGAGUGGCGAACGGGUGAGUAACACGUGGGUGAUCUGCCCUGCACUCUGGGAUAAGCCUGGGAAACUGGGUCUAAUACCGGAUAUGAGCUCCUGUCGCAUGGCGGGGGUUGGAAAGGUUUACUGGUGCAGGAUGGGCCCGCGGCCUAUCAGCUUGUUGGUGGGGUAAUGGCCUACCAAGGCGACGACGGGUAGCCGGCCUGAGAGGGCGACCGGCCACACUGGGACUGAGACACGGCCCAGACUCCUACGGGAGGCAGCAGUGGGGAAUAUUGCACAAUGGGCGAAAGCCUGAUGCAGCGACGCCGCGUGAGGGAUGACGGCCUUCGGGUUGUAAACCUCUUUCAGCAGGGACGAAGCGAGAGUGACGGUACCUGCAGAAGAAGAACCGGAAAAAUAAGUGAAAGAAGAAGAAGGAAAAA